AGUCACUGACAUUAGAUACCCCUGUAGUCCAGGGUGUAAACGCUGCAGACUUGGUGUUGGAAGUCCUUUGGGGGCAUUCAGUGCCGGAGAGAAGUUGUUAAGUCUGCUACUUGGGGAGUACGUCCGCAAGGAUGAAACUUAAAGGAAUUGGCGGGGGAGCACCACAACGGGUGGAGCCUGCGGUUUAAUUGGACUCAACGCCGGAAAUCUCACCGGAUAGGACAGACAUAUGAUAGUCGGGCUGAAGACUCUACUUGAUGAUCUG
rnacentral:rRNA from 1 species